rnacentral:tRNA from 1 species
AAGGCUGUAGCGCAGAGGUCGUCGUGCCCUUUGCUCAAGGGAGGACGCCGGUUCGAAUCCGGCCGGCCUUGCC